rnacentral:rRNA from 1 species
GAUGAACGCUGGCGGCGUGCCUAAUACAUGCAAGUCGAGCGAACAGACGAGGAGUUUGUUCCUGUGUAGUUAGCGGCGGACGGGUGAGUAACAAGUGGAUAACCUACCUAUAUGACUGGGAUAACUUCGGGAAACCGGAGCUAAUACGGGAUAAUAUAUUGAAUCGCAUGGUUCAAUAGUGAAAGACGGUUUUGCUGUCACUUAUAGAUGGAUCCGCGCCGCAUUAGCUAGUUGGUAAGGUAACGGCUUACCAAGGCAACGAUGCGUAGCCGACCUGAGAGGGUGAUCGUCCACACUGGAACUGAGACACGGUCCAGACUCCUACGGGAGGCAGCAGUAGGGAAUCUUCCGCAAGGGCCGAAAGCGUGACGGAGCAACACCGCGUGAGUGAUGAGGAUCAUCGGAUCGUGGAACUCUGUUAUUAGCGAAGAACAAAUGUGUAAUUAACUAUGCACGUCUUGACGGUACCUAAACAGAAAGCCACGGCUAACUACGUG